rnacentral:rRNA from 1 species
CAGUAGCCACGGUAAUACGGAGGGUGCAAGCGUUAAUCGGAAUUACUGGGCGUAAAGCGCACGCAGGCGGUCUGACAAGUCAGAUGUGAAAUCCCCGGGCUUAACCUGGGAACUGCAUUUGAAACUGUCAGGCUGGAGUCUUGUAGAGGGGGGUGGAAUUCCAGGUGUAGCGGUGAAAUGCGUAGAGAUCUGGAGGAAUACCGGUGGCGAAGGCGGCCCCCUGGACAAAGACUGACGCUCAGGUGCGAAAGCGUGGGGAGCAAACAGGAUUAGAUACCCGCGUAGUCCCUGUCUCUUAUGC